UCAUUUCAUUGGUCGUUACCGACACUGUCAGCCAAUCAGAAAGGUAGAGGGGCGGGAUGUAAGGAAACCCCGUAGAGUGAGGUCACAGGAUAGCGUGAGGCAGCUAACAGAGCAGCUACACGUUAGCUGUAAAAGCUGCCUGAGAGGAACUUAAUUCUGCCCAUUAAGAGUUUAAUCCAGCGGCUAACGGACAUGUUGGAACCUGCAGAAGAUGCACCAAGGAUCCAGCUGAUUACUGGCAGUUUGGAGGAGGAUUGUUCUUCAUCUGUCACUUCUGGCACAGAUUCACUCACCUGUUGCGAAGUAUACGGGGCCCCCAGGGGCCAGGAGAAGACCGAAGCUAAAGAACAACAACGGCACAAUGUGUUGCUUUCUCCAGCUGUUUCACAGGUGAAGUCAUGACCUCAUGGUCACAGUAACCCGAACAGCUAAAGAACCGACACAGAAGAAGGAUAAGGAGGAGCAACCGGGAGUUUUCCUCCUCUGUUUGUCUCGGGAAGCUAGUGAACUGCAGGAUGCUAAUGUUGCUAACUGUGUGUGCAGCGCUACACUUGCCUGUAAUUGUAUCAAGAGUUCAGGGCUGUUCACGGCCGGGCGCCGUAGAAAUUGAUUUCUGACAGUGAUACAAAGUUUUAAUUAGCACCUGAAAUAGUCAGCUGAUAUUUAAAGUGACCGAAGCGCAGCUGCAUUUAUGUUCACUUGCUUUGUUUUAAGGAGUAGCUGAGUGAAUUACACAGCAUUGCUAUUGAAGGGAAGCUUAUAAAAAAUACUAUGGUUUUAUUUGAAUGUUGUGUGUGGAAAUGUUAAACCUUAAUGUGUAAAUUCUGCUGUGGGUAGAUAAAACAUUGUGUUUUCUGAUAAGGCUACUCUAAUUAGAGUAUUGCAUUGCAGCUACAGUUAUGUGGAGCCUGUACGGCCGACAGGUUUCCUAAUACAGGGAGAAGAGUAGCUUGAUGUAAUUUCUGUUGAGUUAGUAUCAGCUGUUAUUGAAUAAGGUUGAACAUGUUAUAUGCUG